UCACAACCUAUCAAGCUGCCAACUAUAAAUCCACAUAAUACCACAUUUCGGCCACCAUGCCCACCGGACUCCACCACCAUAAAUGUGAUUGUUUUGGACAUAUUGGUGACCAAUGCUAUGGAGGAGGAUAUUGGGGAGAGUGAGGCGACGCUGGUGGUGGUAGAGUCUUAUGUGUUGUGGUCGAAAAGUGGUGCUAUAUGGAUCUAUAGGUGGUGGCUUGGUAGGGUUGUGAAAGUGGCGGUAGUGGAGAAN
rnacentral:lncRNA from 1 species